GAUGAACGCUGACAGAAUGCUUAACACAUGCAAGUCUACUUGAACUUCGGUUUGGGUGGCGGACGGGUGAGUAACGCGUAAAGAACUUGCCUCACAGUUAGGGACAACAUUUGGAAACGAAUGCUAAUACCUGAUAUUAUGAUUUUAGGGCAUCCUAAGAUUAUGAAAGUUAUAUACGCUGUGAGAGAGCUUUGCGUCCCAUUAGCUAGUUGGAGAGGUAACGGCUCACCAAGGCGAUGAUGGGUAGCCGGCCUGAGAGGGUGAACGGCCACAAGGGGACUGAGACACGGCCCUUACUCCUACGGGAGGCAGCAGUGGGGAAUAUUGGACAAUGGACCAAAAGUCUGAUCCAGCAAUUCUGUGUGCACGAUGACGUUUUUCGGAAUGUAAAGUGCUUUCAGUUGGGAAGAAAAAAAUGACGGUACCAACAGAAGAAGUGACGGCU
rnacentral:rRNA from 1 species